UCUUCUUUGUGUUUAGAGCAUUAUUUGAGUGAAAAGAAACUUAUUGCAACAAAUUCGUAUUAAAAUAUAUUAUGUUUAUAAAUUUUGCUAAAUUGCUGAAAAAUGAGGAAAAUUUUACAUUUUCUCAAACAGGGUAUGGAACUUGGUUCCUCGAAUAACUUCUGGCACAGACAUCUGAGGGCAUGGCCGUCUGAGAAGAAAAUGUAGCCAUUGAUGCCAUCUAUCGACCACAGGUUAAACAUUGGCGAUCCGUUGGAUACCGACCGAGUUAUAGGCAAAACUUGGUGCAAAAAUGAGGAAAAUUUUACAUUUUCUCAAACAGGGUAUGGAACUUGGUUCCUCAAAUAACUUCUGGCACAGACAUCUGCGGACAUGUCCGUCCAAGAAGAAAAUGUAGCCAUUGGUGCCAUCUAUCGACCACAGGUUAAAAAUUGGCGAUCCGUUGGAUACCGACCGAGUUAUAGGCAAAACUUGGUGCAAAAAUGAGGAAAAUUUGACAUUUUCUCAAAAGGGUAAGGAACUUGGUUCCUCGAAUAACUUCUGGCACAGACAUCUGAGGACAUGGCCGUCCAAGAAAAAAAUGUAGCCAUUGGUGCCAUCUAUCGACCACAGGUUAAAGAUUGGCGAUUCGUUGGAUACCGACCGAGUUAUAGGCAAAACUUGGUGCAAAAAUGAGGAAAAUUUUACAUUUUCUCAAACAGGGUAUGGAACUUGGUUCCUCGAAUAACUUCUGGCACAGACGUCUGAGGGCAUGGCCGUCCAAGAAGAAAAUGUAGCCAUUGGUGCCAUCUAUCGACCACAGGUUAAAAAUUGGCGAUCCGUUGGAUACCGACCGAGUUAUAGGCAAAACUUGGUGCAAAAUGAGGAAAAUUUUACAUUUUCUCAAACAGAGUAUGGAACUUGGUUCCUCGAAUAACUUCUGGCACAGACAUCUGAGGGCAUGGCCGUCUGAGAAGAAAAUGUAGCCAUUGAUGCCAUCUAUCGACCACAGGUUAAAGAUUGGCGAUCCGUUGGAUACCGACCGAGUUAUAGGCAAAAAUUGGUGCAAAAUGAGGAAAAUUUUACAUUUUCUCAAACAGGGUAUGGAACUUGGUUCCUCGAAUAACUUCUGGCACAGACAACUGAGGGCAUGGCCGUCUGAAAAGAAAAUGUAGCCAUUGAUGCCAUCUAUCGACCACAGGUUAAAGAUUGGCGAUCCGUUGGAUACCGACCGAGUUAUAGGCAAAACUUGGUGCAAAAAUGAGCCUUAUGAAAUUUUCAAAUUAUUAGAAUUUUUUCAAUUUUCGUGAUUUUUUUAUUUUUUUUUUUAUUUAAAACAUUAUUUGAGUGAAAAGAAACUUAUUUCAACCGAUUGGCAUUAAAAGAAAUCAAUUUAAUUUUUUUGCAAAAUUUCCCAAAAAAAUGGCAAGGGGUACCCCUUAUGAAAUUUUCGAGUUAAAAAUUUUUUUAAAAUUUUUUUCUGAUUUUUUAUUCUUCUUUGUGUUUAGAGCAUUAUUUGAGUGAAAAGAAACUUAUUGCAACAAAUUCGUAUUAAAAUAUAUUAUGUUUAUAAAUUUUGCUAAAUUGCUGAAAAAUGAGGAAAAUUUUACAUUUUCUCAAACAGGGUAUGGAACUUGGUUCCUCGAAUAACUUCUGGCACAGACAUCUGAGGGCAUGGCCGUCUGAGAAGAAAAUGUAGCCAUUGAUGCCAUCUAUCGACCACAGGUUAAAGAUUGGCGAUCCGUUGGAUACCGACCGAGUUAUAGGCAAAACUUGGUGCAAAAAUGAGGAAAAUUUUACAUUUUCUCAAACAGGGUAUGGAACUUGGUUCCUCGAAUAACUUCUGGCACAGACAUCUGAGGGCAUGGCCGUCUGAGAAGAAAAUGUAGCCAUUGAUGCCAUCUAUCGACCACAGGUUAAAGAUUGGCGAUCCGUUGGAUACCGACCGAGUUAUAGGCAAAACUUGGUGCAAAAAUGAGGAAAAUUUUACAUUUUCUCAAACAGGGUAUGGAACUUGGUUCCUCGAAUAACUUCUGGCACAGACAUCUGAGGGCAUGGCCGUCUGAGAAGAAAAUGUAGCCAUUGAUGCCAUCUAUCGACCACAGGUUAAAGAUUGGCGAUCCGUUGGAUACCGACCAAGUUAUAGGCAAAACUUGGUGCAAAAAUGAGCCUUAUGA